UAGUCUGGGAAACUGCCUGAUGGAGGGGGAUAACUGCUGGAAACGGUAGCUAAUACCGCAUAAUGUCGCAAGACCAAAGUGGGGGACCUUCGGGCCUCAUGCCAUCAGAUGUGCCCAGAUGGGAUUAGCUAGUAGGUGGGGUAACGGCUCACCUAGGCGACGAUCCCUAGCUGGUCUGAGAGGAUGACCAGCCACACUGGAACUGAGACACGGUCCAG
rnacentral:rRNA from 1 species